UACGUAGGGUGCGAGCGUUGUCCGGAAUUAUUGGGCGUAAAGGGCUCGUAGGCGGUUUGUCGCGUCGGGAGUGAAAUCCACUGGCUUAACUGGUGGCUUGCUUUCGAUACGGGCAGACUGGAGGUAUGCAGGGGAGAACGGAAUUCCUGGUGUAGCGGUGAAAUGCGCAGAUAUCAGGAAGAACACCCGUGGCGAAAGCGGCUCUCUGGAACGGUACUGACGCUGAGACGCGAAAGCGUGGGGAGCGAACAGG
rnacentral:rRNA from 1 species